AUACGGAGGGUGCAAGCGUUAAUCGGAAUUACUGGGCGUAAAGCGCGCGUAGGCGGCUGAUUAAGUCGGAUGUGAAAUCCCUGGGCUCAACCUAGGAACUGCAUCCGAUACCGGUCAGCUAGAGUUUUGGAGAGGUAAGUGGAAUUUCCGGUGUAGCGGUGAAAUGCAUAGAGAUCGGAAGGAACACCAGUGGCGAAGGCGACUUACUGGCCAAAAACUGACGCUGAGGUGCGAAAGCGUGGGUAGCGAACAGGAUUAGAAACCCUAGUAGUCC
rnacentral:rRNA from 1 species